rnacentral:rRNA from 1 species
UACGUAGCGUCCAAACGUUAUUCGGAAUUACUGGGCGUAAAGCGUGCGCAGGCGGUCUUGCAAGACAGAUGUGAAAUCCCCGGGCUUAACCUGGGAACUGCAUUUGUGACUGCAAGGCUUGAGUGCGGAAGAGGGGGAUGGAAUUCCGCGUGUAGCAGUGAAAUGCGUAGAUAUGCGGAGGAACACCGAUGGCGAAGGCAAUGCCCUGGGCCUGCACUGACGCUCAUGCACGAAAGCGUGGGGAGCAAACAGG